CACGGAGUUAGCCGAUGCUUUUUCUCCGGGUACUCUCAGCUGGGUCACACGUGACCCAGCUUGCUCCCCGGCAAAAGAGGUUUACAAUCCAUAGGACCGUCUUCCCUCACGCGACUUGGCUGGUUCAGGCUCGCGCCCAUUGACCAAUAUUCCUCACUGCUGCCUCCCGUAGGAGUCUGGUCCGUGUCUCAGUACCAGUGUGGGGGACCUUCCUCUCAGAACCCCUACGCAUCGUCGCCUCGGUGGGCCGUUACCCCGCCGACUAGCUAAUGCGCCGCAUGCCCAUCCCUGGCCGGAAUCGCUUCCUUUGAUCCUAACGGGAUGUCCCGUAAGGAUGUUACGCGGUAUUAGACCGGAUUUCUCCGGCUUAUCCCCCAGCCAGGGGCAGGUUGCAUACGUGUUACUCACCCGUGCGCCGGUCGCCGGCGGAUGAAGCAAGCUUCAUCCCCGCUGCCCCUCGACUUGCAUGUGUUAAGCCUGUCGCUAGCGUUCAUCCUGAGCCAGGAUCAAA
rnacentral:rRNA from 1 species